rfam:Medicago truncatula strain A17 chromosome 4, whole genome shotgun sequence.
UGACAGUGACGAUCCUAAUUAGGUCUCGUUCGUCGUAAUUGGCCAAGUUGGCCUUGCCGACAAAUCCUGUUAUACUCUGAGUCC